rnacentral:sRNA from 1 species
GCUGGGCGUUGUGGUGGGUGCCUGUAAUCCCAGCUACUUCGGAGGCGGAGGCAGGAGAAUCACUUGAACCCAGGAGGUGGAGGUUGCAGUGAGCCGACAUCGUGCCACUGCACUCCAGCCUGGGCAACAGAGUGAGACUCUGUCUCAA